AAUCUAAAUCAAAAUGCCACAGUUCUCAAUGGCUUAUGGUGAAGCAUCUGAAAGUGAAAACAAGAAAUACUUUCCCAGCCUCUGAGAAGAUUCCACAUGUCAUCAGAGCCAAUUUGAAAAGGCUAGGCUCCAACUCCUGUCCUCAAGUGAUCCUCCUGCCUCAGCCUCCCAAAGUGCUGGAAUUACAGAUGUGAGCCAUUGCAUCUGGUCUGAAAUUUAAAGAUUUGUAGUUAAAAUUAAAAAUUAAAGAUUUUUAAAAUAUUAAAAAUGAAGAUUUAAAACUUUCA